rnacentral:rRNA from 1 species
GUCGAACGGUAACAGGUCUUUCGGGAUGCUGACGAGUGGCGGACGGGUGAGGAAUACAUCGGAAUCUGCUCAGUCGUGGGGGAUAACGCAUGGAAACGUGCGCUAAUACCGCAUACGACCUUCGGGUGAAAGCAGGGGAAUCUCUCGGGAUCCUUGCGCGAUUGAAUGAGCCGAUGUCGGAUUAGCUAGUUGGUAGGGUAAAAGCCUACCAAGGCCACGAUCCGUAGCUGGUCUGAGAGGAUGAUCAGCCACACUGGGACUGAGACACGGCCCAGACUCCUG